rnacentral:pre_miRNA from 1 species
CAAAGGAGGCUCCGGACUGGCACGGCUGGUAUCUAGGCCUAGCCCACCCCCCGUGCCCUCCAGACUUCUUAUC